CAUCACUAUGACUAUGGAACAAGAAAAAGACUCAAAUGAGAAGCAAAGAUUGAAGUGUGUGUAUUGAUCUCCUGUGUCCUUAUUUGGUCCCAGAGUGGAGAGCAGGAAAAAUUCCUAUUUGAAAGGAUGUGACUGCAUUUGACCUCAAUGGCUCUGAAACUCAGAAAGAGGAAGGCAAAAGAUGAACAAAGAUACAUGAUUUCUGACCAGGUUUGAACUAUUAAGACAAAGCUGCUGGGAACAAUCAUAUACACGUCUUUAUGAAGAUAAAUUUCCAUUUUCUUGGUCAAAAGAAGAAAAGUGAAAUUGCUUGGUCAUAUGAUCAAUAUUUUGGUAUCAUGGCUAAUGUUCUUCACCAAACUCUAGUCCAAAAGGUUGUCAACAAUGACAUCUUGACAUCGUAAGUGGUUGAAUCCAUCCUAGGAGAACAUGUUUUUAUGUACACAUUGACAUGAGACUUAAGUGAAGUCAGAAACUGAAUAUCUGAAGAAGGAAAAAGAAUUAUUUGAAGACUAAAGCACUAAACAGAGAAGAUAAUAAUCCUAAAACAACUUUCAACUUUGACCAGUCCUAUAUCAAACUAGCUUUCAGCAGGAAGUUGUGAUCUAAAGUGAGAAAAUGUAUUUUAAAUGAUCAUAAAUAUGAAAAUCACAUCAUGGCUCAUUUA